GGGACAGGCCCCAAGCAUGGGAAUCCAAGACUGCCAGGCAGCUUACCACCUCAUGGGCCCCCAGGCCAUCCUGGAGGUAUGUACAAGAUUCCUGCAAUGCAUUCGUCAAGACCUGGCACAUAUGGAAGUGGUCCAGCACAAGUAGAAGGAAUGAAUCAGCAGUUGGGAGGGAUGAACCUUGGUCCUUCAGCUGCACCUCCACAAGACAUGCAGCAAAACAUGACUGGGUGCUGCAGCACCUAAGGAUACCCACUGCCCAGCCCACUCCACCUACCAGCCACCCCACCACCAGCCACACAUAAUAAAUACACCAUCCACCACAAACAUCUGUUUAAAAGUAAUCAUGGCCAGGAAUAAAGGCUGUUGUAUAUGUGAAAAAUUCUUUUGGAGAAACGUGAGGGGCAUUGAUUGUGAAAUUUGUGGUAAAAUAUCACAUACGUAUAUCAUGUACAAAGCUUCAUGCAACCAUGACAGAUGACCAAAAACAGUCAUUUCUGGAUUUGCCCCAGUGAAAGGGACAGCUGGUUAAGCAUAAGAGAGGUACUGAAAAGUGAAAACCUAGAAAGCAUAAGGAAGUUUCUAAGGAGCUUGCCAGAAUUAUACAAAGAGUAGAAAACUGGGGAAAAGGAACAAGAAAAGGAGGAAAAUGCAAAUAGAGGUGAAAACCAAGGAGUGGAAGUAAGAGUGGAAAAUGUCAUACAGAGCAAGUCGGAAAAGAAGGAAACAGGGAUACAUAACAUAGCGGAAAGGGAAAGGGAGGAAGAGAAAGCUAGAGCAGGAACAAAUGAAAACGAGCAAAGGGAAGAAAUUAGCUUAGAAGAAAGUGAACAAGAGAACUCGGAUCAGGUGGCAGAACUUAGGAAUGACAUAAAAUCAAUAAAUAUAGGUAGUCAGAACAUUUGCCGAUACUAUGCUAAAGGUAUGUGCCUAUAUGGCAGAGAUUGUUGGAAUAAACACACCAGAAAAUGUGCGAACAUCCUGAGGAAGGGAAAGUGUCGUUUCAACAAAGAGUGCAGCAGAUACUUCCAUCCAGUAAUGUGUAAAGCUUCAACACAGUCCAGAGAAUGUUAUGACCUGAGCUGCCCAGACCAUCAAGUAAAAGGAACGCGGCACUACAGAGUUAGCAGAGAAAGGGGAAUUGAACAGCAUUCUUUUUUAGACAAAGAGAAAAGAUCAAAACAAAGGAAGAGACAAACAGGGAGAAUGGUACAGAGAGGACUGGUGGGCAGUAAAAUGGGGCGUACCAAACCAGGCAUCAGCCCAUCAAGGCCGAAUAAGCAAACAAACGCGAAACCAGUACUGGAGGAACCAGGGGCGUGUACACCAGGGGACAUACCAGGUAGUACACCACAAGUGGUACUAAUGAAACAAAGCGAGACAAAACAUCCCACUUGGUAAUUCCUGCUUCAUACUUGCAAAUAUACAGGGUUUGAAAUCAAAUAAAAAUGACAGUUAUGUCAGUGGGCUCCUAACAGAAGUGUAUAAUGAAUGCCAUGUUCGGAGCAUUUACAGAAACACAUACAAGGGAUGUUUUGGACGGAGAUAUAAAGAUAGAAAACUACAUUUACAGUGGAACCUCAAAUACCAAACUUAAUCCGUUCCAGGAGCUGGUUCUAAAUUUGAAAAGUCUGAAAAGCGAAGCAGUAUUUCCUACAAGAAAUAAUGGAAAUACAAUUAAUCCGUUACAGAAACCCAAAAAUAUUCACAAAAAAAUACAUUUUAUAGAGAUUAAUUACAGUUUUACAUACACACAAUAAAUACUUAAGUUUUUAAUUAUGCAUAUAAAUAUAAAAUAACAUUUUUACUUACCUUUAUUGAAGAUUGGUGAUGGCAUCUGGAAGAUAGGGAGGAGGAGAGUGGAAGUUGGGGUUAGUGUUUGGAAGGAGAAUCCCCCUCCGUGAGGACUUCAGGUAAAGCCCUCUCUGGGUUUACUUCCCUUCUGUCUUUUAAUGCCACUAGGACCAGCUUGAGAGUCACUGGACUCCUGUCUCACAAAAUAACUGUCCACAGUCCUCUGUUUCUGGCGCCUCUUUAACAUUUCCCUAAAAUGGGACAUGGUUCUGUCACUGAACUUGUUGCAAAGGUGGCUUGUUUCGGCUUGCUCAGGGUGGCACUUCUGCACAAACAUUUGGACAUCAUUCCACUUGGCACAAAUCUCCUUAACCCUUUGAGGGUCGACAGGCCCUCUCCGAAACUCGUUCUCACGGUCAGCCAAAUUUAAAAAAAAAAAAAAUUAUCUUAUGAAAAGAUAGAGAAUCUUUUCCCGAUCAUAAGGACACCAAAAGUUUGAAAUUUGAUGGAAAACUUACAGAAUUAUGCUCUCGCAAAGUUAGCGGUCUCGGCGAUGUUUACGCAUCGGCGAUUUUGCCCACUUUGAGCCCCAUUUUCGGCCAAUUCCACUGUACUAGUCGACAAAAAACAUGAAUAUUUCGCUAGAACUCCAUUUUUUCUAUCGAAUGGGUGCAAGAAACCACCCAUUUAUGAAAUUCAACUAUCCAGUACAGUGGUCAGAAUUUAGCAAUUUUGCCAAUUUCACACAAAUUUCAAAAGAUGCCAAUUUCCGAAUAGGGUCCAGAAUAAACAAGAAAGACAUUUCUGGCACUAAAAUGACAUUUCCUCUGGUCAUUAGUCACAUCUCAAGGCCCCUCUUAUAUUCUUUUGCUUUCCACUCUGAAUUUUUAUUCUCACAAAAAAUAAAAGAUUUACUGUUAUGCAGACUACUGCAUUAGUGUAAAAAAUGGUAUAAAUAUUAUUGGUGCACUUGUGAAAGAAUAUUAGACUUGCCAGUUGAUGUGUAUUGCACACUUGGCACGAUUUGUUUACUUUUGAAAUUUGGUAAAAAUCGAACAUUUCUGCUACUUUGAGCUCAAUUUCAAGGUACCUUUCAUUGUAAAACCAGUCAAAAUCAUCUCAAUUUCUGUAAUAUGUCUUCCAUUCUAUAAAAUGAGACCAAGAAAACUAGAAUACAACAAUAAAUACCAUACGAAAAUACAGUGCAAAGUCGCUGUUUUAUUCCAAAAAAAUGGUCAGUUUUUUUUUUCUCAUUAUGCACUGUGUGCUGCAAGAUUUUUUUUAGACUGUGCACACUGACCACAUAGACCCAUUCUUUCAUAUGAAGGCCUACCAGCUUUCUCCCACUAGAUUUGAGGGCGCUAGAAUUUAGGCGUACUAGUACGUCAAAAACCCUGGGUCGUAAGCCGUACUAGUACGUCCGAAACCCUCAAAGGGUUAAUCUUUGAAGAAGGCACCUCAUCCACUCCCUCUUCCUCCUCCUCUGAAGCAAGUUCCUCAGCUGUGGUCUGAUACUGCUCCAGAUGAAGCUCUUGCAGCUCUUAGUGGUUAGCUCUUCCCUGUGGUCCUCCACCAACUCUUCCACAUCCUCAGCACUCACCUCCAGCCCCAGGGUGUUCCCCAAUGCCACAAUAGAGUCCACAACAGGCAGAGGGUGAGCUGGGUCAGGGACAGGGCCAGGGUCAGCCUCAAACCCUUCAAAAUCCCUCUUUUGGACAGAAUCUCGCCACAAUCUUCUCCAAGCCGAGUUCAAAGUCCUGGAAGUCACUCCCUCCCAAGCCUUAUCUAUAAGGCUUAUGGAGCUGUAGAUACUGAAGUGAUUCCUCCAGAAGUCUUUUAGGGUCAGCUUAGUGUCUGUGGUCACUUGAAAGCACUUUUCAAACACUGCUUUUGUGUAGAGUUUUUUGAAGUUAGAAAUGACCUGCUGGUCUAUGGGCUGGAGGAGAGGAGUGGUGUUAGAAGGCAACAACUUCACCACUAUAAAACUGAAGUCCCAAGACAAGAGGUCUAAUAAGUUUGGAGGAUGAUCAGGAGCAUUGUCCAUUAACAGGAGGCACUUGAGUGGCAAAUUAUUGUCUAGGAGGUAUUUUCUCACACUGGGGCCAAACACUUCAUGGGCACACUCUUUGAAAAUUUGCCUUGUGACCCAUGCCUUAUUAUUUGCUUACCACAAGACACACAACUUGUUCUUUAUGACAGUUUUUCUUAAACACACUGGGAUUUUCUGAAUGAUACACAAGUAAAGGUUUCACUUUCAAAUCACCACUAGUGUUAGCACAGGAUAAAAGAGUAAGCCUGUCUUUCAUAGGCUUGUGUCCUGGCAGUGCCUUUUCCUCUUGAGUAAAGUAGGUCCUCUUUGGCAUUUUCUUCCAAAACAAGCCUGUUUCAGCACAAUUGAACACUUGUUGGGGUUGGAAUUUUUCAGUGUUUAUGUACCCCUUAAACACCUUUACAAACUUCUCAGCCGCCUGUUUGUCUGAACUGGCUGCCUCACCACGCCUUACAACAUUGUGUAUGCCACUGCGCUUCUUAACCCUUAAAUUCAAAUUCAAAGUUUAUUCUCUAUAAAGAUUACAAUGUUGAAUUUACAGAAUUUGGUUGUUGUGUGGUUUACAUGUAGUUAAAUAAUGAUUACAGAGUGUACCACUAGAACGCCUAGCAUGGCUAGGCAUUUCGGGCAGACUUAAUUUAAUUCUUUAUUUUAAAAUAUUACAAAUUAUGAGGUAAGUUGGUAUUAUGGCUAAGUGACUAAAUACUAGUUUGUGAGUUUAGCAAUGUGAAUGCUUUUGUUUUGGCACAGUACAUAGUUUCAGUAUUGGAGUAUCAUAGGAUUCAUUAUUUUAAGAUUGAGAUUAAUAUUUCUGUUUAUGGUCAAAUGGGUGAGUGAGUGUAAGUGUGAACCACCAGGUGGUAUUCGUGUAGUUAGUUGAUGGGGUUUAUCAGGGAGAUAAGAUGUUUUCUAAUGGUAGUUUUGAAGGUGAUGAAUGUGUCUGCAGUUCUAGAGUUCUCAGGUAGGGUGUUCCAGAUUUUAGGUCCUUUGACAUACAUUGAAUUUUUGUAAAGGUUUAGUCGGACAUGGGGAAUGUCGUAGAGAUGUUUGUGUCUGGUGUUAUGCCUGUGGGUUCUGUCACAACUAUCAAGAAAGCAUUUUAGGUCAAGGUUGAUAUUGGAGUUUAAGGUCCUGUAGAUGUAGAUUGCACAGUAGUAAGUGUGGAUGUACUCUACAGGGAGUAAGUUUAGAUCUAUGAAGAGUGGGAGGAUGUGUUGCCAGGGAUGGGAUUUAGUGAUUAUUCUUACUGCAGCUUUUUGUUGGGUUAUUAUUGUCUUUAGGUGUGUUGCUGCAGUUGAUCCCCAAGCACAAAUAGCAUAGGUGAGGUAUGGAUAAAUAAGUGAGUGGUAUAGUGUGAGAAGGGCAUUUUGCGGCACGUAGUAUCGUAUCUUGGAGAGGAUCCCAACUGUUUUUGAUACUCUUUUGGUUAUGUGUUGGAUAUGGGUGCUGAAAUUCAGGUUGUUGUCAAGGUAUAGGCCUAGGAAUUUGCCCUCAUUAUGUCUGGUAAUUAGAGUGUUGUCGAUCUUAAUGUUAAUUUGUGCAUCUCCUGCUCUGCUACCAAACAUAAUAUAGUAGGUUUUGUCAGUGUUAAGUGUAAGUUUAUUGGCUGUCAUCCAAGUCGAUAUUUUGAUCAGCUCCUCGUUAACAAUGGUGUUGAGGGUGGCAAGAUUAGGGUGAGAGAUGACAUAAGUCGUGUCGUCAGGUGUUGGGAUACGUUUGGAAGAUCAUUGAUGUAUAUGAGGAAGAGCAGGGGGACCAAGGACACUUCCCUGCGGAACUCCAGUAUCAAGUGGCCGUAUUGUUGAUGCUGUGUCUUUAAUGGUAACAUACUGAUACCUAUUAGUAAGGUAAGAUUUGAAAUAAGCAAGCGCAUGGCCUCUUUUAUACCGUAAUGGUCAAGUUUGUGGAGUAGGAUGUCGUGGUCUACUGUGUCAAAAGCUUUUCUUAGGUCAAUAAAAAUUCCUAGUGGAUAUUCCUUAUUUUCCAAUGCUGUGUAAAGCAGAUCUAGCAUUUUUAUGAUUGCAUCAUUAGUGCUUUUAUUUUUCCUAAAUCCAAAUUGGCAGGGGGUUGAGUAUGUUUUGUGCUGUUAUAAAUGAAUAUAGUCUCCUGUGCACGAGUUUCUCAAAGAUUUUGGAUAGCAAUGGUAAGUUUGAUAUUGGCCUAUAGUUGUUUAAGUCUGUAGGGUCACCACCUUUAUGUAUUGGUGUAACCCUUGCCAUCUUGAGUAGUUUCGGGAAGGUGCUAGUUUCUAGUGACUUGUUAAAAAGUAAUGAAAUAGCAUGCGAAAGGAUAUGGGCCGCUCGCUUGUACAGUAAUGGUGGGACAUUAGACAGAUUCCCUGAGUUGUUUUUAAGUGACUUUAUAAUCUCGGUGACUUCCGAGGGCUCAGUUGGUGCAAGAUAGAAGGAAUUUGGGAAAUUCCCAUCUAGGUAGUCCCCGGCAUGGGCAUUAGUAUGUGGGAUUUUAUUGGCGAGAUUAGAUCCUAUGGUUGAGAAGAAGUCAUUUAUCUUGUUAGCUGUGUCAGUGGGAUGUAGUGGCGUUUCAUUAGGUUUAGUUUGGACAAUAUUCUUGUUUUUUUUCAGUUUGUGGGUCCCUAGAAUCUGAGAGAGUGUUUUCCAGGUCUUUUUUAUAUCCUCUAGUGUCUGGGAAUCUACUGGAGUAGUAUAGUUGUUUGGCUUUCUUUAUUACUUUGGUGAGAAGUGAUGAAUAGUGUUUAAGAAUAUCUUUGUGUAUUAAGCCCUGUCUAUAUUGCUUUUCAUAUUGGUGUUUCUUGUCAAUGGAUUUCAGAAUGGUGCUGGUUAGACAUGGGCAACCAAGCCGUUUGUUUGUGAUCUGUUUCGUUUUUAUAGGACAAUGUUUGUUGUAUAGUCUAAGUAAUUUGUUAAGAAAAAUGUCUGUCCAGUCAUUAAUACCAUUGGCCUUGGAGAAUUUUGUAGGCCAGUCAACAAUCUCUAGGUCAGUUGUGAACUUCCUUAUUGAGGCCUCGUCAUGGAGUCUAAAUGAGACUUUGUUGUAUUCAAGUGGUGGUUUAUUAAUGUUUGUCAGGAGGAAGGUAGGGUAGUGGUCUGUAGUGCUAUCUGUGAUUAUCCCUGAUUUAAGGGGGGCUAGUAUAUUGGUCCAUAUGUGGUCUGUUAUGGUUGCACUUGUCUCAGUGAGCCUGGUUGGUUUAGUUAUUGUUGGUAUGAGAAGUGUGUUGUUCAUAUUGUUGAUGAAAUCAGUUACAGGCUGAUCAUCUAGUAAGCCAAGGUUGAUGUUGAAGUCUCCAGCUAAGAGAAGGUGGUGCUUAUUCAUUUGUCUGUUUGUUAUUAGUGACUUUAAUUUCUCACUGAAAUUUGGGAUGUUUGUGUGGGGUAUCUGGUAAAUGCCACCGAUUGUUAUAGGUGAUCAAUCAUCUUCUAGGUUUAAAUUAUGGUUAUUUAUAUCCUGAGUUAUGUGUUGAGUUCUAGUACUGAUAUCUGUAGUGGUGGGAAGCUUGGAUAAGUAUAUAGCUAGAGUAUUUUGGUCAUAUAGAGUAUAGUCACUACUACACAUAAUGAAGUUGAUGUUGUCUAUGUGUUGUGCUGGAAUGAACUAAAGUACAACUAGGUAUAAACUAGUAAUAUAAAAAUACAAAUUUAAAAUAGAACAAGACUCUCACUUGUAAUUGCACUAAGGUCUAAUAUAAUGACUUGUGGAGUCUAUGUUUUGAGCUAGAAUGAGCUAUAGUACAACUAGAUUUAAUCUAAUAAUAUAAAAAUACAAAUUAAAAAUAGCACCAGUCUCUCACUAGUAAUUGCAGUAUGGUCUAAUAUAAUGAAUUUGGUAUUGACUAUAGUACAACUGAGUUUAAUCUAAUAAUAUAAAAAAGGCACAAGACUCUCAAUUGUAAUUGCACUAAGGUGUUAUACAAGUUGUUUACAAGAAUUAGAGUAUAACUAGAUUUAAAUUGACAAGAUAAAAUAUACAAGUUAAGGUAGCAAAAGAAUAAAAAAAAAAGUAGAAAAAAAAAAGAUAUGUGAGGUAGUUGGUAUUAGUUAGCAAAAGAUAGUUAAGGGCCUUGAACAAUAAUAUAAUUGAAAUAUACACUAAUUGCACACACAAUAUAGUCACUAAGAUAUGAAAACAAUCUUAGAGUAGGAAUUAUAAUAUAAACUUAUAAUAUAAAAAUACAAAUUGAAAUGGUACUUGCAAUUGCACUAGAGUCUUCA